CUGUAGGAGGGGACCACUGGACCUGAAAGAUCCCCAAAGGGAGACCCUCACUCAAGUCUCGGGAAGUCGAGGACCCCAGACACACGAGAGACCCA
rnacentral:pre_miRNA from 14 species